rnacentral:lncRNA from 1 species
GGGAGGAGGAGGAGGAGAGGAGGAGGAGGAGGGGGGUGGCGGGAUGCGAGCAGAGGCGCGCCCAGCCGCCGGGGCCGGGCCGGGCCGGAGAAGGGAGGGGAGGGGAGGGGAGGGGAGGAGAAGGGAGGGGAGGGGGGCACGGCCGGGAGGUGGAGCCGGCUGCGCUGGCGGCUGGGGCGCUCCGCGGCUGCCGGGCACCGGGCGCGCACGGCAGUGGGAGCCCAGCGCCGCCGGGAGCCGCCUGCUCGCCCGGUCCCUCCCCGGCGGGGCCCCGCCGCCGGAGCCCGCUGCAGACGCCGGCAGGUUGACCAGCCUGGGUCCUGGCGCCAGGGACCUGAAGCAAGGAUCCUGA